rnacentral:rRNA from 1 species
GAGGAAAGCGGGCGGUAGGCCUAACACAUGCAAGCCGAGCGGUAUUUGUUCUUCGGAACAGAGAGAGCGGCGCACGGGUGCGGAACACGUGUGCAACCUGCCUUUAUCUGGGGGAUAGCCUUUCGAAAGGAAGAUUAAUACCCCAUAAUAUAUUGAGUGGCAUCAUUUGAUAUUGAAAACUCCGGUGGAUAGAGAUGGGCACGCGCAAGAUUAGAUAGUUGGUGAGGUAACGGCUCACCAAGUCAAUGAUCUUUAGGGGGCCUGAGAGGGUGAUCCCCCAGACUGGUACUGAGACACGGACCAGACUCCUACGGGAGGCAGCAGUGAGGAAUAUUGGACAAUGGGUUAGCGCCUGAUCCAGCCAUCCCGCGUGAAGGACGACGGCCCUAUGGGUUGUAAACUUCUUUUGUAUAGGGAUAAACCUACUCUCGUGAGAGUAGCUGAAGGUACUAGACGAAUAAGCACCGGCUAACUCCGUG